CGAUCCGAAUUACUCUCCCAAUCCAAUCCGAUCCGAAUUAAAAUUCCGUUGUUUGGAUCUGAUCCGAAAAUCCGAAUUAUAAUACGUUAAUUUUUAGCGUCCAAUACGAUAACUACAAAAAAAAAACAAUAAUAAAAAUACCAUUUGUCCAAUCAAGCCUUAAAAUAAUACAAGUCUUGAAAAUAGUGAUAAUUAUUCAUCAUCAAGUCAAUAUUAAUUAUUACUUAGCUAGAAUAACUACAAGUCAUCACCAUUACAAGUUUACAACAACACUAUGCACAUAAUAUCAGCAACUAACUACAUGGCAUCACCAAAUUUUAGCGUUCAAUAGCAACACCGUAACUAAACAAUAAGUCAACAUAUUAGUCGUUGCUUAAUUUUACAAUUCGAUUUUCGGUUUGGUUUGGAUCCAAUUAGGGUCAAUCCAAUCCAAUCCGAAAAUCCGAAUUUUACAAAAAUCUCAAUCCAAUCCAAUCCGAUUUAAAGUUUGGAUCCGAUCCGAAUUGAUAAUUCAGUUUGGAUUGAAUUGGAUUUCGGUUUUAAUCCGAAUUAUGGACAUCCCUAGUUGUGAGGGUAGAUCAUUGAGAAUUUAGGGUUUGUUCUUAGGAAUUUGGGUGAAAUUUUGAGAGAAUUUUGUUGAGUGAAGAAGGAUGGGGAGUACAGAAGGAUUGGUGAAGCAACUUGGAGUGACAACGCCGAUUUCUAUGGCGGGACCUUCUGCUAUUGAUUUUCAGAAGACUCGGGAAUUUGAGAAGCGAUGACGAGGCGGCGAUGAGGGAAGCGAUUUUGGCUCGCCUUAGAGGGGAAGACCUGAGAAAGAUAAUUAAAGUGAAUAAGCCUCUAAAGACACCAUUUGGAAGGUUGUUGAAGUUAGCUGCCCAUGCAUUAGCAGAGAAUUAUGUACAAAAUUGGGAGGAUGAGUUUUGCUACAUUUUAGCUGUCAUUUUGAAGCAAAGUAAAGUAAAAAAAUUUAGGCAUGAGAUUGAUCCUGGGGCAAGGACAGCUGAUUUCGACAGGUAAGCUGAUUAUGAAAAUGAUCAUACUUCGUAUUUUGGUCUGCUAAAUGCUUUGUUAGAUUUCAGAGCAAAAGAGGAGAUCGAGGAGGAGGAAAGAGUUCAAGCUCUUCACCCUCUUAUGGGGUGUGCUGCAGAAUAUCAACCUCAGAAUGUGCAGCCUCACCGUUCAAAUUAAUUAAGAAAUGGAUUUGUGCAUAUUAAGUUAUGUUUUUGCUAUCUUAAAAUUUCAAGCCUUUACCAUGCCUUAUUUAUAUCUAUAAAAGUUUUGCUACUUUCAUGAAUUUGGGAAUCUUGGAUGACUAGGGUGAUGGCACAUAAUAUAAAAUGAGAAAAACCUAUUUUGUUAAUAAUUUUCGAUUUUUUACAUAAGUGCUUUGAAUUGGGGAUAAAGGUACAUGUAAGGGGAAAAAAAUUCCCAAAAGAUGUAAAAUUCUAUUGUAGUUUGUGUGGUUAACUACGUUACAAAGUAUUAGUUCUUGUUUGUUGUUUCUUAGUGAUUUUUGCAUUUGCUUAUUUAUGCUGGUUAUAAGAUAUAUGGCUUGUGUUACAUUACAAAUUACGCUAAUCAACAGAGCUAUAAGAUAGUGGUAAGCUUGGCAUGGUUGGCGGUGGGUUUUAUUAGGGUAAUUUGUGUGGUCUAGUCGUUAUUUGGUUUUGUCACAUGGUUUGUCUGGGUAUGUCAUAUGUAAUUUUCUUAAGGAUGGUGCUAUAGAGCUUGGUUAUCUCGUGCCUUCAGUUUUAUAUGUAUGGUACUUAUUACAUUUUGUGGGAAACUCUCUGCUCUAAUCUGUUAUUGAUUUUAGAAAUGUGUUUUUUUUUGCCUCUAUAUGUAGGUGACUUUGACACAGAGAUCUUAUUCUUCAUUUCUUGGUCCAUUUCUUAGUGUUUGGCAACUGUGCUCUUUGAACAGUUAUUUGCUAUUUUGGCUACGAAUUAGUAUUUAGAUUCUAUACAAUGUUAGUUUAUUAUGAUUUUGUCUUUGCAAAGCUUGUGUUUGUUAUUUUGUGCUUUUAUGUUUUGGUGUGCGUGUUUGAUGUAAAGCCUACUUUUCUUUUUGGAAAGAAUUUUUUAUUAUUUACUUUUAAUCCGCCAAAAUCAACUACAAGUAUCUUGGUUUUAAUACUACUGUUAAACAGCCAAACUUUACAAAGUAAUACUCAACCAUUGGCAAAAUUCAACUAUUUUGUGUUAUAAUAAAAUCUAUUGAGGUAUUGACCCCUUAUCUCAAAUUCUUGAUCUGAUACUAAUAGUAUUGAUACUCUAAUAUCAAUUUGUUAUAAAUCUCAUUAGUAUCUUAUUUAUAAUUUUGUAAAGUAUUGACUUAUAAAUCUUAGUUUUAUACAAAGUACUUGAAUAUAUUAUACUCCAUGAUUAUGUAAUAUUAGUUUGGAAUAAAUCUGUAUGCCACCUAUACCUAAGAGUGGCUUGACUUUAAAUUGCAGGCAGUUGGACCGUGGGAGUUUGGGUUAGCAAGCACCCGAGCAAUUAUGUAAUGACUGCAUGCAAGCAAUUCAUUCGUUCUUGCCGUUUGUCAGAGACCCAAGUAGCAUUGAGAAUACUUAGGUGGUUCAAAGGAGGCACCAAGUUACAAAACCUGAGCAACUAAAGGCAGAACCUCCGACUCCACCAGAGCAACCAAAGGUAGAACCGCAGACCCUCUGAUUCCACCUCAGCAACCAAAGACAGAACCUCUUGCACCUCCUCAGCAAGACAGCAACCGUAGACAGAACCUCAUCAUGUAACUCCAAUUUGAUAUUUUUAUAGAUUCUCUAAGUUACAGAAGAUCUAAAAGGCAAAGAACUAUGUCUUAAAGCUGCUGAGUUGCUCACAAGGCUUGGAAGAAGGGCUAUAUCUCCGUCAGAUGCCUGCCAGGUCUAUUCACUUCUUCACCAGCAAGUCUGGUAAAGUCUUAACAAAUUUCUGUGUAAAAACUAGCGUGUUUUUAUUUUAUUUUACCCUUAAUUAACAAUGUCUUCUGCUUGUCUUGUUCUCAAUCUGUAUAAUCAACUCGCUGCUAAAGUUAUGCAGCUAAGGCUCAAAAAGAAAAUAUGCAGAAGCUGAGAAACUUCUGGUUAGUUUCUUUGAUAUUUUUAUAUCUCUGACUUCAGUGUUGUAUCCUCCCUCCCAAAAAAAAUUUAUGUAUUUGAAAUAAAAGGUAAGCAGUGACAAUUUGGGUUUAUUCGCAAGCUGUUACAAGUUUAGUUACAUAACCUGAUAUGUGAGUAGGUGAUAUAGAAUAUAAUAUGGCAUUUAUAUAGGAUAAAUCUCAAAAUUAUGCUAUAAUGAGGUCGAUUAUCCUGCUCUUUUUGCCCAUAUGUUUUUCUUUAAUAUAAACAUAGUUGUCUGUCUUUAUUUUGUAAGCUAUAGAGUUUUUCUUAAAGACUUUGCUUUAACUAGAGCUGUCCAUCUGUAUUUUCGCCGGAGAGAAGCUGAAAUCAAUAUAGUGAAUCAAGAUGCAGGGGAGAGAUUAGUAAAACUAAGAAAUGAUGUCAGUUCGAGCAGGUAUACAUUACAUCAUUUCUCUUUUAUAUUGUUCUUAUUCUUACUUGAAGCAAAGUUGACUUAAAACCCUUCUGGACAUUGUCACAAAGUAAGAUAAUUUAUGUUUUACUUUUGUUUUAUUACGUACAUCAUUUAUACCAUAAGAAUUUGUGAUGUGAGUUGCUUUAGUAAAUUGUUAUUAUCAAGUCAUUGAUCUCCGUUAUAGAAAUUAACAUUAUGCAUAUAUUACGUCACUUGUUAGCUAAUAUUAAAUUUACAAAAUGGCACUGGUUAUCUAUUUUGUAAAUUUUGUCAGAUAUCCUUAAUUAUGAGUUGUAUGCCAUGUUGAUGAUGUGAGAAUAGAUACUUGAUGGAUAAUCAGACACCAUUUAGAUUAAAAUUAUUUGGUAAAAACAAUGAUUCUCUACAACAAAAUAAGGGAUUUCAAAACAAAAUAAGGGACACCACUUAGAUUAAAAUUAUUUGGUAGUAGUUCGGACUUAACUAAAUCUUCGAUCCUUUGACAUUGACAUAUGCAUUAUUAAAAGAUACAAAAUGAGAGUAGAAGCUUUAUUAUUUCUAAGAAAAGAAAAUAGAAGCUUUAAUUAAGAAUAAGUGUAUAAUAUAUGAUCCGAUACAAUAUUAUUAAAUAAUAAAAGUAUCAUAUUUAUAUAUAAAAAUUGUGGUCGAAGUAGUUUCUUAACACCAAUACAAGAAACUAAGGUGGAUUCUUAUGUCCAUAAGAUCCAUCAAGAAGACAUUUUUGGUAGUUAAUUAUAAUUCUAGGAGACAUUUAGUUUAAACAAAUACAUCUAUUUGGUGCAACAAAAGUAAAGCUAAGGUGUAUGUAUCUUAUGCAAUUAUUGUAAAUAUUUCAUAUAUACAUAAUCUAAAUAAAUUAAAUUACUCUAAACAAAUGAUAUUUUUUUUAAUUUUAUCUAUCUAAUUAUUUGAAAUGGAAAUGCGAGGGCUAGCCAAGUGAAGAUUUUGAAAUUGAAAUAGUUAAUUGAAUAGGACACGGAUCAUUAAAAAAAAAAAACUUGAUAUCUAGAUUUUUAAAGAGUUGGUAGAUUGUUGAAACUUGUAAUUAUAUUGAAAAUUACUCUAUAUAAAGGGUAAUACCCUGUAUUAGUUUAUUGAUCAAAGAAGCAUAUUUACAUUACAAAUACACAUGUUGAUGGGCUACAUGGGUGGUUGCAAAUGGUUAAAUGCACCCAAUCAUACGCUCCUGGAAAAACACAAUUUUACAAUAAAAAAACAUAUAAGCUUAUUACAACUCUUAAAUAAAUACUACUUAUAGUUGUGCAAGAGAAACAGCUGCAAGCCUGGAACAGAAGAGGAGAGAAGAUGAUGGUGAUAUGCAAUUGACUCAACUGAUUAAUUUUACAGAAAAAUCAUAGCAAUGGAUUCUCCAGCUGUGGCUACGAAAGAUAACAAGCUAUUUAAGGGAGUUGUUGCAGGCGGCGGAACCAUGGUGCUCUCGUCAUCUAUGGUGUUUUACAUGUUUAAACUCUAAUUAUGGCCAGUUAUUUGUAAAACCAUUAAAUAUUACAUGGUUUCUCAGAGAUUAAUUCAAGUUGGUAAACUAUUCUAAAUGUAGUUCUUGCCUUGGAUUAUAUUGCAGUUGGGAAUUAUUUGUCAUUGUUUUAA